CGGGGCGUUUUUUCUCCUUCCUUCCUCCUCCUCCUCCUCGGUCCCCUCACGCCGCGGCGGGCAGCGCGCGCCGCGCUGGGCGGACGGAAAGGGCGGAAAGGCCUGAGGGGGCAGCGGGCUCGGCUCCCCUCAGGGCCGGCCUCGGCGGUGGAUGGCCUCGGAUCCGCGAUGAGUUCCGCUGUUCUUCCCGGGAAAACGGAGGUGAAAAGAUGAGGAAGCUGAACAGUCAUUGAAAUAAGUCUCUGCUGUUCUGUAUAUGGAGAACUGAUUCUGCCAGUUUUGGCUCAAGCAGGUGUCUUCCCAGACCACUGCAUAUCCUGCUUGUGUUCUGUGCUGCUGGUAACUGUUUUUUCCAGUUGUGCAAAAGGGAGAUGUUCCUGCCCUAAUGAUUUUCCAGAGGUGUUUGUGUGUGACUGGAUUCAUUCACAAGAAGAAUUCACUGAAGCUUUCCUUGUUCAAGUAGUUCUUGUGUAAUAAUUCCAUCGAAGGACAUCGACUAUCUGGAUUCUAAACCUGAGAAGCACCAACAUAUUUUGAGUAUCCAUGUAGCUGGUGGAAUGCAGGAGAGGUCUGUUCUUGUGAAGUAGGGCCAUUCUAUAAGUUCUUGCUAAGG